rnacentral:rRNA from 1 species
AAACUUAAAUGAAUUGACGGGGACCCGCACAAGCAGCGGAGCGUGUGGUUUAAUUCGUUGCUACACGAAGAACUUACCUGGGUUUGACAUAUAGGUUGUAGGGAACUGAAAAGGGACGACCCUUCGGGGAGCCUAUACAGGUGUUGCAUGGCUGUCGUCAGCUCGUGUCGUGAGAUGUUCGGUUAAGUCCGCUAACGAGCGCAACCCUCGUCGUAUGUUAUAUGUGUCAUACGAGACUGCCGGUAAAAGCCGGAGGAAGGUGAGGAUGAUGUCAAGUCAGCAUGACCUUUAUAUCCAGGGCUACACACACGCUACAAUGGUCUGUACAAUGGGUAGCCAAGCCGCGAGGCGGAGCCAAUCCUGAAAGCAGGCCUCAGUUCAGAUUGCAGUCUGCAACUCGACUGCAUGAAGUUGGAGUUGCUAGUAAACGCAGGUCAGCCAUACUGCGUUGAAUACGUUCCCGGGGCUU